AACGAACGCUGGCGGCAGGCCUAACACAUGCAAGUCGAACGCACCGCAAGGUGAGUGGCGCACGGGUGAGUAACACGUGGGAAUGUACCCUUUGGUUCGGAAUAACGUUUGGAAACGAACGCUAAUACCGGAUGAGCCCUGUGGGGGAAAGAUUUAUCGCCAAAGGAGCAGCCCGCGUCUGAUUAGCUAGUUGGUGGGGUAAAGGCCUACCAAGGCGACGAUCAGUAGCUGGUCUGAGAGGAUGAUCAGCCACACUGGGACUGAGACACGGCCCAGACUCCUACGGGAGGCAGCAGUGGGGAAUAUUGGACAAUGGGCGGAAGCCUGAUCCAGCCAUGCCGCGUGAGUGAUGAAGGCCUUCGGGUUGUAAAGCUCUUUCGCACGCGACGAUGAUGACGGUAGCGUGAGAAGAAGCCCCGGCUAACUUCGUGCCAGCCGCCGCGGUAAUAC
rnacentral:rRNA from 1 species